rnacentral:rRNA from 1 species
UACGUAGGGUGCAAGCGUUGUCCGGAAUUAUUGGGCGUAAAGAGCUCGUAGGCGGUUCGUCGCGUCGGCUGUGAAAUCCCGAGGCUCAACCUCGGGUCUGCAGUCGAUACGGGCGGACUGGAGUUCGGCAGGGGAGACUGGAAUUCCUGGUGUAGCGGUGAAAUGCGCAGAUAUCAGGAAGAAUAUCCGUGGCGAAGGCGGCUCUCUGGUACGGCACUGACGCUGAGACGCGAAAGCGUGGGGAGCGAACAGG